UGGGGCCCAAGCCCGCAUAAGAAACCUAAGUAUAAAAGGGCACUUAAAAACCCUAUCCCCAUUUCCUUCAAACAAACCUGCUUACACCGCACACAUGCACAGUGCUUUUCUCCUUCUCUCUUGAUUAUACACGCAUACACACAGACCAGAUGCAAAAGUGAGUUUAUUUGAGAACCAUAUCAACACCUAUAACAAUUGUAACCUACAACUACUUGCCCCUUAACACCUCCCACAAUCAAGCAGAGCCUUCAAUCUUCUAAACACCUCUCAUCCUCUCUUUCUAAUAAACCGACCAACCACCACCAUGGGCGGCAGGUGGCGUGGCGUGGCGGCGACGGGAACCACAUCAAGUCGGGCAGACACAAGAGAACGAGAGAGAGAGACAUCGGAGGGGGGGGGGUAAUGACGGACGACGGUGGAGUUCCGCCGCUGAUGUUGAUGUCGGAGAUGAUGGAGACGGCGGCAGUGGGAUUCCACGGCGGAAACGCCGCCGAUCACGGCGGUGGUUCUUUGUUUAUUUCCGACGGAACUUACGAUGAUGUUGCUUUGGAUCGGGUUCAGACCACACUAGCCAACCGGUCAGAUUUUAUUCGGGUCAACAGCGAUUUGCUCGGUUCGGUUUCGCAGUCAACUCAGUCGGCCGGUUAAUUCAGUCAAACGGGAAGCUUUCGGUUGAAGUUCGGGUUUUGGUUCGGACAUGUUUUGGUAUGGUUCAACUCGGUUGACUCGGUUAAACCGAGUCAACUCAGUCAACGACAACAGGUCAACACCCGAGUCAACUCGGGUCAACAACGGGUCAAGAUUGGUCAAUGAAAGUCAGCGGUCAGACCAAGUCGACAAGUCAGCGGAUACGGGUCCAAAGCAGUUACGGUUUGGGUCAAUAGCUAGCCAACCUCAGUUUCGGUUCGAAACGACUCGGUCAAACUGGGUCGACUCGGUCAAACCGAGUCCACUCAGUCAAACCCGGUCAACAGCAGUAAACGCGGUCAACUCAGGACCCGGAAUGCUAUAAUUGCACGUUAGCGAGUUCACGUUCUUGGAACGACAUCACGCAAUCACUUCUAGCUAGCUUUGCACAGGAAUGUCAAGGUUGCAUUUUUAAAACUAUGGAACGGUUGGAAUAGGAGAACCCAU